rnacentral:misc_RNA from 1 species
CCGCAUCUUGCAACAUCACUCUGUGUUGUUACAAGGUAUCUACGUAUGAGUGUCAGCCCAAUAUCCUUUAUUGGUUCAAGAUGUAUUUUGAUGAAAUCUUUUUAAGAUUUUUUCUCAGAGUCUUGGAUACAUAUUUUAUGGAAAUAAUUUAUGUCUGGCCUCAUAUGUGGAAGGUUACCCGCUGGAUUUAAGC